rnacentral:rRNA from 1 species
UUAAGCGACUAAGCGUACACGGUGGAUGCCCUGGCAGUCAGAGGCGAUGAAGGACGUGCUAAUCUGCGAUAAGCGUCGGUAAGGUGAUAUGAACCGUUAUAACCGGCGAUUUCCGAAUGGGGAAACCCAGUGUGUUUCGACACACUAUCAUUAACUGAAUCCAUAGGUUAAUGAGGCGAACCGGGGGAACUGAAACAUCUAAGUACCCCGAGGAAAAGAAAUCAACCGAGAUUCCCCCAGUAGCGGCGAGCGAACGGGGAGGAGCCCAGAGCCUGAAUCAGUGUGUGUGUUAGUGGAAGCGUCUGGAAAGGCGCGCGAUACAGGGUGACAGCCCCGUACACAAAAAUGCACAUACUGUGAGCUCGAUGAGUAGGGCGGGACACGUGGUAUCCUGUCUGAAUAUGGGGGGACCAUCCUCCAAGGCUAAAUACUCCUGACUGACCGAUAGUGAACCAGUACCGUGAGGGAAAGGCGAAAAGAACCCCGGCGAGGGGAGUGAAAAAGAACCUGAAACCGUGUACGUACAAGCAGUGGGAGCCUCUUUAUGGGGUGACUGCGUACCUUUUGUAUAAUGGGUCAGCGACUUAUAUUCUGUAGCAAGGUUAACCGAAUAGGGGAGCCGAAGGGAAACCGAGUCUUAACUGGGCGUUAAGUUGCAGGGUAUAGACCCGAAACCCGGUGAUCUAGCCAUGGGCAGGUUGAAGGUUGGGUAACACUAACUGGAGGACCGAACCGACUAAUGUUGAAAAAUUAGCGGAUGACUUGUGGCUGGGGGUGAAAGGCCAAUCAAACCGGGAGAUAGCUGGUUCUCCCCGAAAGCUAUUUAGGUAGCGCCUCGUGAAUUCAUCUCCGGGGGUAGAGCACUGUUUCGGCAAGGGGGUCAUCCCGACUUACCAACCCGAUGCAAACUGCGAAUACCGGAGAAUGUUAUCACGGGAGACACACGGCGGGUGCUAACGUCCGUCGUGAAGAGGGAAACAACCCAGACCGCCAGCUAAGGUCCCAAAGUCAUGGUUAAGUGGGAAACGAUGUGGGAAGGCCCAGACAGCCAGGAUGUUGGCUUAGAAGCAGCCAUCAUUUAAAGAAAGCGUAAUAGCUCACUGGUCGAGUCGGCCUGCGCGGAAGAUGUAACGGGGCUAAACCAUGCACCGAAGCUGCGGCAGCGACGCUUAUGCGUUGUUGGGUAGGGGAGCGUUCUGUAAGCCUGCGAAGGUGUGCUGUGAGGCAUGCUGGAGGUAUCAGAAGUGCGAAUGCUGACAUAAGUAACGAUAAAGCGGGUGAAAAGCCCGCUCGCCGGAAGACCAAGGGUUCCUGUCCAACGUUAAUCGGGGCAGGGUGAGUCGACCCCUAAGGCGAGGCCGAAAGGCGUAGUCGAUGGGAAACAGGUUAAUAUUCCUGUACUUGGUGUUACUGCGAAGGGGGGACGGAGAAGGCUAUGUUGGCCGGGCGACGGUUGUCCCGGUUUAAGCGUGUAGGCUGGUUUUCCAGGCAAAUCCGGAAAAUCAAGGCUGAGGCGUGAUGACGAGGCACUACGGUGCUGAAGCAACAAAUGCCCUGCUUCCAGGAAAAGCCUCUAAGCAUCAGGUAACAUCAAAUCGUACCCCAAACCGACACAGGUGGUCAGGUAGAGAAUACCAAGGCGCUUGAGAGAACUCGGGUGAAGGAACUAGGCAAAAUGGUGCCGUAACUUCGGGAGAAGGCACGCUGAUAUGUAGGUGAAGCGACUUGCUCGUGGAGCUGAAAUCAGUCGAAGAUACCAGCUGGCUGCAACUGUUUAUUAAAAACACAGCACUGUGCAAACACGAAAGUGGACGUAUACGGUGUGACGCCUGCCCGGUGCCGGAAGGUUAAUUGAUGGGGUUAGCGGUAACGCGAAGCUCUUGAUCGAAGCCCCGGUAAACGGCGGCCGUAACUAUAACGGUCCUAAGGUAGCGAAAUUCCUUGUCGGGUAAGUUCCGACCUGCACGAAUGGCGUAAUGAUGGCCAGGCUGUCUCCACCCGAGACUCAGUGAAAUUGAACUCGCUGUGAAGAUGCAGUGUACCCGCGGCAAGACGGAAAGACCCCGUGAACCUUUACUAUAGCUUGACACUGAACAUUGAGCCUUGAUGUGUAGGAUAGGUGGGAGGCUUUGAAGUGUGGACGCCAGUCUGCAUGGAGCCGGCCUUGAAAUACCACCCUUUAAUGUUUGAUGUUCUAACGUUGGCCCCUGAUCGGGGUUGCGGACAGUGUCUGGUGGGUAGUUUGACUGGGGCGGUCUCCUCCUAAAGAGUAACGGAGGAGCACGAAGGUUGGCUAAUCCUGGUCGGACAUCAGGAGGUUAGUGCAAUGGCAUAAGCCAGCUUGACUGCGAGCGUGACGGCGCGAGCAGGUGCGAAAGCAGGUCAUAGUGAUCCGGUGGUUCUGAAUGGAAGGGCCAUCGCUCAACGGAUAAAAGGUACUCCGGGGAUAACAGGCUGAUACCGCCCAAGAGUUCAUAUCGACGGCGGUGUUUGGCACCUCGAUGUCGGCUCAUCACAUCCUGGGGCUGAAGUAGGUCCCAAGGGUAUGGCUGUUCGCCAUUUAAAGUGGUACGCGAGCUGGGUUUAGAACGUCGUGAGACAGUUCGGUCCCUAUCUGCCGUGGGCGCUGGAGAACUGAGGGGGGCUGCUCCUAGUACGAGAGGACCGGAGUGGACGCAUCACUGGUGUUCGGGUUGUCAUGCCAAUGGCACUGCCCGGUAGCUAAAUGCGGAAGAGAUAAGUGCUGAAAGCAUCUAAGCACGAAACUUGCCCCGAGAUGAGUUCUCCCUGAGACUUUAAGUCUCCUGAAGGAACGUUGAAGACGACGACGUUGAUAGGCCGGGUGUGUAAGCGCAGCGAUGCGUUGAGCUAACCGGUACUAAUGAACCGUGAGGCUUAACCUU